rnacentral:rRNA from 1 species
GACGAACGCUGGCGGCGUGCUUAACACAUGCAAGUCAACGACGUUUGCGUAGCAAUAUGCAAACGGAGUGGCGCACGGGUGAGUAACGCGUAUGCAAUUUGCCCUUUGCUCGGGAAUAACACUUCCAACGAGGUGCUAAUACCCGAUGAUGCAGCGGCACCGCAUGGUGACAGUUGUUAAAGCUUCGGUGGCAAGGGAUAAGCAUGCGUCUGAUUAGCUUGUUGGCGGGGUAACGGCCGACCAAGGCUUUGAUCAGUAGCUGGUCUGAGAGGAUGAUCAGCCACACUGGGACUGAGACACGGCCCAGACUCCUACGGGAGGCAGCAGUGAGGAAUAUUGCGCAAUGGACGAAGGCCUGACGCAGCAACGCCGCGUGAGGGAUGACGGCCUUCGGGUUGUAAACCUCUUUCAGCAGGGAAGAAGCGAAAGUGACGGUACCUGCAGAAGAAGCACCGGCUAACUACGUGCCAGCCGCCGCAGUAACAC